rnacentral:rRNA from 1 species
UACGGGGGGGGCAAGCGUUGUUCGGAAUUACUGGGCGUAAAGGGUUCGUAGGUGGCCAACUAAGUCAGACGUGAAAUCCCUCAGCUUAACUGGGGAACUGCGUCUGAUACUGCUGGUCUUGAGUACGGAAGAGGGAGGCGGAAUUCCUGGUGUAGCGGUGAAAUGCGUAGAUAUCAGGAGGAACACCGAUAGCGAAGGCAGCUCACUAGGUCUGGAUUGACGCUCAGGGACGAAAGCGUGGGGAGCAAACAGG